rnacentral:rRNA from 1 species
CUACGGGUGGCAGCAGUGGGGAAUAUUGGACAAUGGGCGAAAGCCUGAUCCAGCCAUGCCGCGUGUGUGAAGAAGGCCUUCGGGUUGUAAAGCACUUUCAGUGGGGAAGAAAGCCUUGGGGCUAAUACCCUCGAGGAAGGACAUCACCCACAGAAGAAGCACCGGCUAACUCCGUGCCAGCAGCCGCGGUAAUACGGAGGGUGCGAGCGUUAAUCGGAAUUACUGGGCGUAAAGCGCGCGUAGGCGGUCUGAUAAGCCGGUUGUGAAAGCCCCGGGCUCAACCUGGGAACGGCAUCCGGAACGGUCAGGCUAGAGUGCAGGAGAGGAAGGUAGAAUUCCCGGUGUAGCGGUGAAAUGCGUAGAGAUCGGGAGGAAUACCAGUGGCGAAGGCGGCCUUCUGGACUGACACUGACGCUGAGGUGCGAAAGCGUGGGUAGCAAACAGGAUUAGAUACCCCGGUAGUC